rnacentral:sRNA from 1 species
UCUUAGACCCGAUAGGAGUGGCAUCCUUUUACAUUUAGGUUGGGCAGUGGGAGGUGCAAAAGAUACAGCGGAUAGCGGGAGCGCCU